AUUGAACGCUGGCGGCAGGCCUAACACAUGCAAGUCGAGCGGAUGAAGGGAGCUUGCUCCUGGAUUCAGCGGCGGACGGGUGAGUAAUGCCUAGGAAUCUGCCUGGUAGUGGGGGAUAACGUCCGGAAACGGGCGCUAAUACCGCAUACGUCCUGAGGGAGAAAGUGGGGGAUCUUCGGACCUCACGCUAUCAGAUGAGCCUAGGUCGGAUUAGCUAGUUGGUGGGGUAAAGGCCUACCAAGGCGACGAUCCGUAACUGGUCUGAGAGGAUGAUCAGUCACACUGGAACUGAGACACGGUCCAGACUCCUACGGGAGGCAGCAGUGGGGAAUAUUGGACAAUGGGCGAAAGCCUGAUCCAGCCAUGCCGCGUGUGUGAAGAAGGUCUUCGGAUUGUAAAGCACUUUAAGUUGGGAGAAAGGGCAGUAAGUUAAUACCUUGCUGUUUUGACGUUACCAACAGAAUAAGCACCGGCUAACUUCGU
rnacentral:rRNA from 1 species